rnacentral:rRNA from 1 species
UACGGGGGGGGUAAGCGUUGUUCGGAAUUACUGGGCGUAAAGGGCUCGUAGGCGGCCAACUAAGUCGGACGUGAAAUCCCUCAGCUUAACUGGGGAACUGCGUCCGAUACUGGAUGGCUUGGAUUUGGGAGAGGGAUGCGGAAUUCCAGGUGUAGCGGUGAAAUGCGUAGAUAUCUGGAGGAAUACCGGUGGCGAAGGCGGCAUCCUGGACCAAUAUUGACGCUGAGGAGCGAAAGCCAGGGGAGCAAACGGG